UACGGAAGGGGGCUAGCGUUGCUCGGAAUCACUGGGCGUAAAGCGCACGUAGGCGGCUUUCUAAGUCAGGGGUGAAAUCCUGGAGCUCAACUCCAGAACUGCCUUUGAUACUGGAAGCUUGAGUCCGGGAGAGGUGAGUGGAACUCCGAGUGUAGAGGUGAAAUUCGUAGAUAUUCGGAAGAACACCAGUGGCGAAGGCGGCUCACUGGCCCGGUACUGACGCUGAGGUGCGAAAGCGUGGGGAGCAAACAGG
rnacentral:rRNA from 1 species